rnacentral:piRNA from 2 species
UGCAUCUUGGGCACAGCUCUGG